AUACGGAGGGAGCGAGCGUUAAUCGGAAUUACUGGGCGUAAAGCGCGCGUAGGCGGCUUUGUCAGUCGGAUGUGAAAUGCCCGGGCUUAACCUGGGCCUGUCAUCCAAAACUGGAUAACUAGAGUAUAGUAGAGGGCAGUGGAAUUUCCGGUGUAGCGGUGAAAUGCGUAGAUAUCGGAAGGAACACCAGUGGCGAAGGCGACUGCCUGGACUGAAACUGACACUGAGGUGCGAAAGCGUGGGGAGCGAACAGGAUUAGAAACCCGGGUAGUCC
rnacentral:rRNA from 1 species